AACGAACGCUGGCGGCAGGCCUAACACAUGCAAGUCGAGCGGACCCUUCGGGGUUAGCGGCGGACGGGUGAGUAACGCGUGGGAAUAUGCCCUUCUCUACGGAAUAGUCCUGGGAAACUGGGGGUAAUACCGUAUACGCCCUUUGGGGGAAAGAUUUAUCGGGGAAGGAUUAGCCCGCGUUGGAUUAGGUAGUUGGUGGGGUAAUGGCCUACCAAGCCGACGAUCCAUAGCUGGUUUGAGAGGAUGAUCAGCCACACUGGGACUGAGACACGGCCCAGACUCCUACGGGAGGCAGCAGUGGGGAAUCUUAGACAAGGGGGGCAACCCUGAUCUAGCCAUGCCGCGUGAGUGAUGAAGGCCUUAGGGUUGUAAAGCUCUUUCAGCUGGGAAGAUAAGGACGGUACCAGCAGAAGAAGCCCCGGCUAACUCCGUG
rnacentral:rRNA from 1 species